rnacentral:misc_RNA from 1 species
UGGCCGCCACAAAUAGUUCUUCACGAUCAUCAUCUGAUUCACCUGUGAAAUCUAAAGAUCCACUACUAACCAGUGGCCCAACACGAGCUAAAGACUUCCGUUCUUUCACCUUUUUCGACCUUUUUCGAAGGUGGACGACCAGUUUUGCUUUUAUUCUUAUCAGAAGCAGGUUUCACACUCUGAAUUGGCCUUGUAGUUGGUAGAUUCUCUAAUUUGUCUCUCACUGAAUGAAUGGCUGGCUUUGUUAGAGAUGAAACCCUUUACUCCUUCCUUGUCUCCUCACACCAUCUCCAAUCUCAUUAGCGGGCAAUUUAUUCUUCCGAGCAGGCAACAGACAAGCCCUACUGUCUAUUCCUUUAUCUUUUGUUUUAUUCUC